GGACGCUGGCACUGCAGGUGGCAGCUUAGCAAUGCCAGCCCCUUCCUUCCAUCUCUAUGUGAAGUUGCUGCAGUGGCCUGGUUCUGUGAGCUCACCGGGCACCAGGCAUGACCUGGACACAUCUCUGCUCACCACGGCAGCCCCACAGAGCUCCUACACCCUGAUUCUUCUACAAGUGCUGGCAACAGCAGGCACUGGGCCGGCAGCUUGGAACUCCAUCCAGAGACCCUGGUACCAGAGCCAUCGUUGCUGCCUCCAGGAUGGGUGUUGAUAGCAGAGUGGAUCAGAGGGGGAGCUGGGAUUCAGACCCGGACACUGCAGUAGGGGGAACCGGUUUCCCAAGAGGUGACUUGAAUGCUGCAUCAUGGGUCUGCCAUGAAGUCAGGAAACCACUGAGCCCAGAGACAGAAGUGGGAUUAAAAGAUGAGCUUCAUUUUAGUGCAAGUUUCUGAGGUAUGUGCACGUUGUGUUAAUACACGUUCCCUGGGACCUGUGGAAGUCCCCCGGGCACAGCCAGUCUGAGCGAGGGCUGCGGAACAAGGUUGUCCACAAGGAGUUCGGUGCUUAAAGCCUUUGGCGAAGAUCAGUUCAGAGAUUCCCUUGGUUUUUAAAAUAUUGGUGUUCCAUU